UACGGAAGGCAGCAGUGGGGAAUAUUGCACAAUGGGCGAAAGCCUGAUGCAGCUAUGCCGCGUGUAUGAAGAAGGCCUUAGGGUUGUAAAGUACUUUCAUCGGGGAGGAAAAACAAAACUAAUAAUUUUAUUUCUUGACGUUACCCGAAAAAGAAGCACCGGCUAACUCCGUGCCAGCAGCCGCGGUAAUACGGAGGGUGCUAGCGUUAAUCAGAAUUACUGGGCGUAAAGAGCACGUAGGUGGUUUUUUUAAGUUCAGAUGUGAAAUCCCUGGGCUUAACCUAGGAACUGCAUUUUAAAACUGAAAUACUAGAGUAUCGUAGAGGGAGGUAGAAUUCUAGGUGUAGCGGUGAAAUGCGUAGAUAUCUGGAGGAAUACCUGUGGCGAAAGCGGCCUCCUAAACCGAAUACUGACACUGAGGGUGCGAAAGCGUGGGGAGCAAACAGGGAUUAGAUACC
rnacentral:rRNA from 1 species